CUGGGUAUAGCUCAGUCUGGUAGAGCGCUGGCUUUGGGAGUCAGAGGUCGAGUGUUCGAGUCACUCUGUCCCGA
rnacentral:tRNA from 1 species